CGGUAGGCCGGCCGGGGCCCCCGGCCGGUGCGCUCGGGGCGCGCCCAGAUCACUUCGGGUUCGGCCGCUCGGCCCGCCAUC
rnacentral:tRNA from 1 species